UACGUAGGGGGGCAAGCGUUGUCCGGAUUCAUUGGGCGUAAAGAGCGUGUAGGCGGCCAGGUAGGUCGGUUGUGAAAACUGGAGGCUCAACCUUCAGAGGUCGACCGAAACCAUCUGGCUAGAGUCCGGGAGAGGAGAGUGGAAUUCCAGGUGUAGCGGUGAAAUGCGUAGAUAUCUGGAGGAACACCGGUGGCGAAGGCGACGUCCUGGACCGGCAUUGACGCUGAGGCGCGAAAGCCAGGGGAGCAAAGCGGG
rnacentral:rRNA from 1 species